rnacentral:tRNA from 1 species
GAAAUGGUGUUUCAGUGGUAGAAUACUCACCUUCACGCGUGGGAGACCUGGGUUCGAUUCCCAGCCAAUGCG